rnacentral:rRNA from 1 species
AUACGGAGGGUGCGAGCGCUGUUCGGAAUUAUUGGGCGUAAAGCGCGUGUAGGCGGUUUGCUCAGUCUGAUGUGAAAGCCCUGGGCUCAACCUGGGAAGUGCAUUGGAUACUGGAAGACUUGAAUACGGGAGAGGGUAGUGGAAUUCCUAGUGUAGGAGUGAAAUCCGUAGAUAUUAGGAGGAACACCGGUGGCGAAGGCGGCUACCUGGACCGAUAUUGACGCUGAGACGCGAAAGCGUGGGGAGC